UGGUGCCAGCAGCCGCGGUAAUUCCAGCUCCAAUAGCGUAUAUUAAAGUUGUUGCAGUUAAAAAGCUCGUAGUUGAAUUUCGGGGUUAGUAGGUUGGUCAUGCCUCUGGUAUGUACUGGUCUCACUGAUUCCUCCUUCCUUAUGAACCGUAAUGCCAUUAAUUUGGUGUUGCGGGGAAUUUGGACUGUUACUUUGAAAAAAUUAGAGUGUUUAAAGCAAGCUAACGCUUGAAUACAUUAGCAUGGAAUAAUGAAAUAGGACGUUCGAUCUUAUUUUGUUGGUUUCUAGGAUUGACGUAAUGAUUAAUAGGGAUAGUUGGGGGCAUUAGUAUUCAAUUGUCAGAGGUGAAAUUCUUGGAUUUAUUGAAGACUAACUACUGCGAAAGCAUUUGCCAAGGAUGCUUUCAUUAAUCAAGAACGAAAGUUAGGGGAUCGAAGACGAUCAGAUACCGUCGUAGUCUUAACCAUAAACUAUGCCGACUAGGGA
rnacentral:rRNA from 1 species